ensembl:lncRNA
CUUGCGCAUGCGUACUGCCCAUAGCCGUUUCUGGAGCAGGUUAACUGACUUCUGUUUACUGUCAAGUGUUAAGGAUCGCUGUAAGCAUUUUCUGCUUACUUUUAUAGGGAAACGUCUUCAGCUUUACUGCCAUAUCAGAAAGAAGAGUUCACCGCAACUAUUAUUUGCUACAUGGACAUACCAAACGCUUUUUAAACUACUAUCUAAAAUCCCAGAUUAGCGAAGCUCUCAGACCUAAUCAGAGAAGUGUUUGUUUGUUUGUUUGUUUGUUUGUUUUUACUGCAGCAAUGGUUAAUACAGAAACUAAUAACUGGCCAAAGUGCAGAGAUGAAGUGUCUGUGGAGUGCUCAGCCACAGUGGGACAUUGUACAUAACUUUUAUUCUCCUGUUGUAUUUGUUGUCUGGGAGGCUUACUAACUCAAGUCAGCUAAUCUAGGCCUAGUCCUGGAAGCUUAUAGCCUCUGUUUAAUCUAAUCUAGGCCUAGAAAGUUUUCAGCCUCCGAGACUUCCUGCUGAAUGCACUCCUGCUUUCUAGUUCUUUCUGAUCGUUGGAUGGCUAUUCUGGCUCAGACUACUCUCCAAGCUGACUGAUUCAAUCUGGCUUCUCUUAGCUUCCGACUGAACUGCUCUGGUUUGUAUUUCGGGCUCGUCUGUAUUUCAGUCGGAGGGAUUAAAGGUGUGAAUUAAGGACUAAGCCACACCACAACUAAAAACAGUGUGAUCAAAUACCCAGCAGCAGGACACAUCACACCUUCACUGAAAGGACCAUCAAUGACAUUGGGAACAGUACCUUCUGGACAUGACAAGCUCCCUGCAUUCAUGAAAUCUCACUACCUCUGGUUACCUGUACAAGAAGCACACAGACGAAGCCAGUCAACAUUCCAGAAAGGAAGCAGGAGGAGCUCACAAGCCCCAGUUGGUAAAUGAGAAGUUACUUACAGUUGGUGUCUACUGGGUAGAGGGAGAAUGGGUUUACCUUAAGGGUAUGGCAAGUCAACCAUCUCCAGUGGAUGGCCUCACACCCAGGAAUGUAUGGGCAACACAAACUGGAUCAAAUUUUUUGAGGAAGGGGGCUAGUCAGAAACUUGGAAGAGGGUAGGGAUAGGUCUGGGAUGAGUUAGGGGAGAUGUGAGUGUGACCAGGAUACACUGUAUGUAUGGAGUGGUUCACUAAUUUAAAAAAAAAAAAAGUCAAUUACCAAAUACCAAUUCUAACUUUCUGUGAGUCUUUGGAUACCAGACCUCGUCUUGCUGUUUCUUUCCAUUAGUAAGUGCCCAACUUCUGAGUAUUACUAUGAGACUCAAAUGGGUUAAUAAUGUGUGAUGAACACCAGCAGCACGGGGCUCAACAUAUCACAACCCAUGUUAAUUGACAUGCUCUUCACCCACAGUGAUAGCAGCCAUAUUCAGGACUGGUAGACGGUUUGGGGAGGGAUGUGAGAUUAACUUUCUAG